GGGCUGGGGCUCAAGUGGUAGAGCGCUUGCCUAGCAUGCAUGAGGCACUGGGUUCAAUCCUUAGCAUCACA
rnacentral:tRNA from 1 species